GUAUUGUGGGGACCACCUCCUCGAGAGGUGUUAGGCAUUAGCCAGCCACGACGGCUUGCACGUGAGAACUAGACCCCUUCGUGCAGACACCAAGCCAGUCGUCGCAGCCAGCCAGGCCGCUUUUUUGG
rfam:Burkholderia sp. ST111 contig_54, whole genome shotgun sequence.